rnacentral:rRNA from 1 species
AGCGAACGCUGGCGGCAUGCUUAACACAUGCAAGUCGAACGGCAGCACCGUAAUUGCUUGCUCUUAUGGGUGGCGUCUGGUGGCCGGGUGAGGAAUACAUCGUAAUCUAUUUUUUCGUGGGGGAUAACUUAGCCAAACUUACGCUAUUACCUUCUACGACCUACUGGUGAAUGCAGCGGAUCUUCGGACCUUGUUCUCUUGAAUGAGCCGAUGUCGGAUUAGCUAGUCGGCGGGGUAAUGGCCCACCAAGGCGACGAUCCGUAGCUGGUCUGAGAGGAUGAGCGGCGACACUGGAACUGAGACACGGUCCAGACUCCUACGGGAGGCAGCAGUGGGGGAUAUGAGACAAUGGGCGCGAGCCGGAUCCAGACAUAGCGCGUGGGUGAAGAAGACGUUCGGGUUGUAAAGCCCUUUUGUUGGGAAAGAAAAGCAGCAGGUUAAUACCCAGCUGUUCUGACGGUACCCGAAGAAUAAGCACCGGCUAACUUCGUG